UACGAAGGGGGCUAGCGUUGCUCGGAAUCACUGGGCGUAAAGGGUGCGUAGGCGGGUCUUUAAGUCAGGGGUGAAAUCCUGGAGCUCAACUCCAGAACUGCCUUUGAUACUGAAGAUCUUGAGUCCGGGAGAGGUGAGUGGAACUGCGAGUGUAGAGGUGAAAUUCGUAGAUAUUCGCAAGAACACCAGUGGCGAAGGCGGCUCACUGGCCCGGUACUGACGCUGAGACGCGAAAGCGUGGGGAGCGAACAGG
rnacentral:rRNA from 1 species